rnacentral:rRNA from 1 species
UGCAUAAUGAGCCUACGAGUUACUCCUCAGUAGCAAGGUUAAUUCCAUUGAUGGAAGCAGCCGAAGCGAAAGCAAGUCUUAACAGGGCGCUUAGUUACUGGGGGUAGACGCGAAACUUAGUGAUCUACCCAUGGCCAGGUUGAAGCUCCGUUAACCCGGAGUGGAGGACCGAACCCGUUGACGUUGAAAAGUCUUGGGAUGAGCUGUGGGUAGGGGUGAACGGCCAAUCAAACUG